ensembl:snRNA predicted gene, 23854
AUAUUUCCUUGGAGCCACAUAAGCUACAAUGUAGAAUGUUAUGGAGAAGAUCAGUGUGGUCCCUAGGCAAGGAUGACAUAAAAAGUCAGUGAGUAUUGAUAUUAUUAA